AGUGAACGCUGGCGGUAGGCCUAACACAUGCAAGUCGAACGGCAGCACAGUAAGAGCUUGCUCUUACGGGUGGCGAGUGGCGGACGGGUGAGGAAUACAUCGGAAUCUACUUUUUCGUGGGGGAUAACGUAGGGAAACUUACGCUAAUACCGCAUACGACCUACGGGUGAAAGCAGGGGAUCUUCGGACCUUGCGCGAUUGAAUGAGCCGAUGUCGGAUUAGCUAGUUGGCGGGGUAAAGGCCCACCAAGGCGACGAUCCGUAGCCGGUCUGAGAGGAUGAUCAGCCACACUGGAACUGAGACACGGUCCAGACUCCUACGGGAGGCAGCAGUGGGGAAUAUUGGACAAUGGGCGAAAGCCUGAUCCAGCCAUACCGCGUGGGUGAAGAAGGCCUUCGGGUUGUAAAGCCCUUUUGUUGGGAAAGAAAAGCAGCAGGUUAAUACCCCGCUGUUCUGACGGUACCCAAAGAAUAAGCACCGGCUAACUUCGUG
rnacentral:rRNA from 1 species